rnacentral:rRNA from 1 species
AUUGCAGGCUGCAACCCGCCUGCAUGAAGUCGGAAUUGCUAGUAAUCGCGGAUCAGCAUGCCGCGGUGAAUACGUUCCCGGGCCUUGUACACACCGCCCGUCACACCAUGGGGAGCCGGUAAUACCCGAAGUCAGUAGUCCAACCUCGUGAGGACGCUGGCCGAAGGUAGGAUUGGCGACUGGGGUGAAGUCGUAACAAGGUAAC